CGUAGGACACAAGCGUUAUCCGGAGUUACUGGGCGUAAAGGGCGUGUAGGCGGACGUGUAAGUCUAUUCUGAAAGCUCAUGGCUAAACUGGGAGAGGCGAAUGGAGACUGCAUAUCUAGAGUGAGGAAGAGGAAAGUGGAAUUCCGCGUGUAGUGGUGAAAUGCGUAGAGAUGCGGAGGAACACCAGUGGCGAAAGCGACUUUCUGGUCCUUAACUGACGCUGAGGCGCGAAAGCAUGGGGAGCGAACGGGAUUAGAAACCCCGGUAGUCCAUGCCAUAAACGAUGUUCACUAAACGUUCGUUUCCCGCGAGGGAAGCGGGUGUUGAAGCUAACGCAGUAAGUGAACCGCCUGGGGAGUACGGUCGCAAGGCUA
rnacentral:rRNA from 1 species